AUCGAUAUAAAUAUACAUCGAUAGUUCUAUCAAGACGGGAGGGAGUUUGAAAUUAAUUUUAGUUGUCAUAAUAAAUUCCAUUGGCACCGAAAAUAUGAAAGAACGUGGCGUCAGAGCGAGAAAGCAUGACGCGCGUAUUUUAUACAUUUUGACUGGAUGUUUGCAACCCGACGGCAAAUUUUCGAACUCGCCAAGAAGAAGAGCCAUCAGAAAUGCGUAGGUGAGAAAGAGCCGAGAAAUGUAAUGCAAUGUAACGGUAACGGCAACGGUAGCGCAUUAUUGAUUUUGCUAUUAACGUUAAACGCGGUUGCUAUGCUCUCUUGUCUCCUUUUUGAGCCCUGGAACUGUGGAACGACGACUUGGCCUCCGACUACACACUUAUUAUUUUUGUUUUGCCUUAACUUACUUUGGGCUCAUAAAUCAAAUAUUUACAUUCCGAAAUUGACGUCUUGAACGCGCGGUCGCAAUUUGCAACGUUUCUCCUGGGCUUCUUUUCUUCAUCGGUGUGAAUUAAACGGGCAGCUUUCACCUUGGCUCCCUUGAUUUCUGCGUGUUUCAGUGCAUGUGACUGUGUUAGUGUGUGUGUGUGCUGCGAUUAACCCAAGAAAUACUAAGAAAACUGGCAAACAGACACCGAUAUCGCCAGCAGCAAUUGCUUGGCUUGAUUAGUCUGGGAUUCAUUUGAAAGACGCUUCGUAAAAAGCUUUGAAGUUUCAGCAACACUCAAAAUAUUAAACAAAUAUUAAGUCAAGACAUCAAAACGGAUUUAAAUACUUAACUGCAAUUAAAAGGAGCAAACAUCAUAACAAUAUUUGUCUAACUUUGAAGAUGAACCGCAAUAUUGAGAUGCAACAAAUUUGCAGUGUCGACUGCGCUUAUCACCUACAACAAUGAGACGCAUAACGAGAGCGGGAGUCCUUGCCGAAAGGACAAUGGCAGUACUCAACCCUCAAGUGUUUUGGCGGCGCAUUCGAGCGUAAAUUGCAGCGUAAUCUCUUCCGGAUAUGAUUACGCUCUUAAGUGAUCUGAUUCAGACAGCUGGACAGGACAACCGAGAACAUGCCUGACAUUGUUGCUGUCAGCUCUCAUCGCUCAACGCGGCUAAAUGCUGUGACCUAUCAGCUUUGUAUCUGUAUCUUUAGCUCGGCCAGAGUGGCUGUUUCUACGACAACGACAACGACAGCGGGUGCGGGGACUCCUAAGCAAGU